CGUUAAGAGGCAUUGUAUGAAAGGACAUUGGUGAGAACACGCAGCCAGGAGCCGGUGCCGAUAGAAAAGUCGGCAAGGAAGCCCUACCUGGACGCGUCGGAACGCGGGGUCAGGUCCCGGCAUCGGUAGAGCCGGAGCAGCACGCAGGGAUAAGUCCGCAGGGACUGCGUAACACUACGCAGUGAAAACGGAUGCAUACUGAGGGGAAGUCCCGGAAGUGGCAGCUGACCGUCUGACCAACCUGGACCAGGGUGGCGUUGGACUGCUGGUGGACGCUGGUGCUCAGCAUGACGACAUUCGCGUUCGCUGCUGCAAGUACGGUGCAUCUUAGCCGUCCGCGCUGGCAAAGCAGACCCGCCUGAGACGAGCGUGACCGGUGGGACUGUCCGCUACGAAUGGAGGGACGAAGCAAAGCUGGUGAGCGAGUUCGCGGUACUGUCGAGACCUCCGGUGUCGGUGUGGACACAGCCGCCUUUUCCAUUCAAGCUCGCAACACAAUCGAACGUUCCAGCAUUGUUGGAAGAACUGAAGAAUGGGCACAAGGCGUGCUGCUUGGCUGUGUGGUGUGGCGUCUCGGGGAGGAACAGCAGGCGGGAAUUUUUCCGUGUCUCAGCGGACGAGGGAUGUGACAUAUGACAAAAUUACGCUGAUUCGGGAGCCCUGGCGGGGCUGACAUGGCAGCAGAUCCACAACGGCUACGGCUUGUGCUCGGACCACUUCCCAGAAAGGGACUACGCCGAUCCUGUCUUUCCCGUUUGUCUGUGCCAACUGUUGCAGUGGAACAGCGGUCUCCGAUGGAUGAAGGUCAGGGAGCGAGUGCCGCCGCCUCAGAUGCAGGCUUGGAGGUCUUGGGUCCCAGCAGCCUCUUCAGCCAGUUGGACGAUCCGGAGCUGGAGCUCAGAGUCCUAGCUGCGCAGCAGGGUCUCCCAGGAACCAGUGGUAUGCCCGGGUGUCGUUGGAUGCUGCACGACUACGAUGUGUCACUGUGCCGUGUUCACCAGGCAGGACAGUUCUACUACAGCUGCUUUCUCGUGCUCCGUAUCUUCGUGGGACUGCUCAACCUCACUCGCCGUGCAUUUUAUAUUGACCAGGCAGUGUUGCCACUGAUCUUUACCACUCGUCCUGUUCCUCGGACGACUGUGCCACAGAUUGUGCCCAACGUGUUCACCGAACUGCUUUACCGCAAAAAGCUUGCUGCUCUUUGUGCACACAUCUAGCAGCCUUGCCACAGAACGCCUACACUCCGGGUGUUCCUUGGACAGUUACAAUGUUGUUCUCUGCUUUGCCAUGCGUGCUCAUCGAACUGUCCCACUGCGCAUGCUUAUUGCAGCCUUGUGCAAUUGCCAGAUGCCGGCACUGCCCAAAAUCUUGACCCUCUGUGCUCAUUCUACCCAUUGUACCCUACGUGCUCACCGGACAUGUACAUCGCACAUGUUUACGUGCCUGUCGCGUUCGUUGGACAGCUCUGCAACUAGCAAGUGUGCUAUAAGUAUCCAUCAGACAAUAUUGAGACGCUCUUAUACUCUAGCUCAUUCGGCAUCUGUGCUGAAUUGCUUCACCGCCUGUUAUGCAUUAAAGACAUUGCCUGCUAUGGCUU